UGUAGUGGGACAAGACAGUGUUACUGAGUGUGGGAGAGGAAUGGCGCCGGCGGCUUAAGGAACAAGAACAGAAACCGCUGGAAAAGCUGAGCAGCCCUGGCUGCAUGUGUCAAGAGACUCCGAGGAAACGUAAUAAGGUGAAAGGGAAUAAUGGACAAAGCACUGAAAACAACGCUGACUCUAAUUCAGCAAAGUAUUUGAAGAUCUGAAGACUGAAGUUUAAAAAUCAACAGAUGAAGGGCCUAUGCC